UCCACGCCGAGAUCGUGAGGCCGUUAUAGAGGCACAGCAUGCCGAUCAUGGUAGCGCCGCUGUUCCCGAACCACAGCAGGAAGCAGCUGAUGCCGGAAAGCACCAUUGAACCACCUGAGUGAGGCCGGUACAUCACGCCGAAAGAUUCCAGUGGCAGGGUACAGAGGUACAGAGUCUCAUCAGGUGAAUCCAUUCCGGCGCGACGGCACCACACGACAGUGUCAUCGUGGGCAGUGCUCCGCACUACGAAGCGGGCGUCCAAAUUCGAUUCCCGGCCAUGGCUAAGGUCAGCGACGAUUGACACGCAAAGGGGCCCAAGGCAUUCCCCCCCCGCCCCCCCCAGUCAACACACCUUAAAGCACCACCCCGUCACUCACCGCGUGCAGCUGCGUGCCCGUGCGCAUGGGCCAUCGGCGGUACCAGGCUCCGGUGUCCGACGUCAUUUC